rnacentral:pre_miRNA from 2 species
GAAAAUCUAAAAACUAUCGUUGGAUCGGAAAAUAGAUGUUUGAGAUUUGUCCAUGUCAUCACGAGUAAAAAUUUUACUUGCAAUUAAUCAUGGGUAAAAACUCAUGAUGAUGUGGACGAACCUCAGACAUUUAUUUUUUGAUCCAAUGAUAAUUUUUAAGUUUUC